rnacentral:tRNA from 1 species
GCUCCAGUGGCGCAAUCGGUCAGCGCGCGGUACUUAUCAUGCCGAGGUUGUGAAUUCAAGCCUCACUUGGAGCA